UACGUAGGGGGCAAGCGUUGUCCGGAAUCAUUGGGCGUAAAGCGCGCGUAGGCGGCCCGGUAAGUCCGCUGUAAAAGUCCAGGGCUCAACCCUGGAAAGCCGGUGGAUACUGUCGGGCUAGAGUCCGGGAAGAGGCGAGUGGAAUUCCUGGUGUAGCGGUGGAAUGCGCAGAUAUCAGGAGGAACACCGAUGGCGAAGGCAGCUCGCUGGGACGGUACUGACGCUGGAGGCGCGAAAGCGUGGGGAGCGAACAGG
rnacentral:rRNA from 1 species